CUGACAGCCAUGGGGACGGGAAGCCUUUGUUUAUGAACAGAGCAGGUAUCUCGCAGGCAGCAGCAGUGCAAACUUCCCUUAAGUGUCCCUCUAAUGUGCCUUAAUCCAGGGAAGGACCAUUCCACUGAAGUCAAUGGGAGCUGUGAGGACUCAGAGCCUUUAAAUUCAAGCAACU
rnacentral:sRNA from 1 species